rnacentral:rRNA from 1 species
AGAUUGAACGCUGGCGGCAUGCCUAACACAUGCAAGUCGAACGGGAGUAGCAAUACUCUAGUGGCGGACGGGUGAGGAAUACGUAGGAAUUUGCCCUUAAGUGGGGGAUAACCCGGGGAAACCCGGAUUAAUACCGCAUGACCUCGAAAGAGCAAAGUGGGGGAUCGCAAGACCUCACGCUUUUGGAGAAGCCUACGUCGGAUUAGCUAGUUGGUGAGGUAAUGGCUCACCAAGGCGACGAUCCGUAACUGGUCUGAGAGGAUGAUCAGUCACACCGGAACUGAGACACGGUCCGGACUCCUACGGGAGGCAGCAGUGGGGAAUAUUGGACAAUGGGCGCAAGCCUGAUCCAGCAAUGCCGCGUGUGUGAAGAAGGCCUUCGGUUGUAAAGCACUUUAAGUUGGGAAGAAAAACUACGACGUCUAACACAGUGAGUCUUGACGGUACCGACAGAAUAAGACACCGGCUAACUCUGUGCCAGCAGCCGC